rnacentral:lncRNA from 1 species
UCUGUGGGGAGGAGCCAAAUUGUAUGUCAGUUUAUUAUAUAGAAAAACAUGCUUUAUAAUAUGGAUCAAAUUAUUAAGACAUGAGUCUUUAAUUAUCAUUAUUUUCCUUGAUAUAAUUAGAAAAGUGUUAUAAUUUUUAAGACUAUCAGUUUUAGACUUAAAAAAAGAAUGGAGCUUCUCUUAGGGUUCCUAACUUAUAAAUUCAUUAGUUAUAUAAUAACAAAAGCCAACUUUUGAGAAAAAUGUUCACCAACUGCUAUUCUGAAGUAAGACUCAAUAUAUAUGUUUCAUACAAAACCCAGUCUUGUAUUUGGAAUCUAGCUUUUCAGUAUAUAUAAUGUGUCUAACAAUUUGGGGGAGGGUGGCUAGGAAUAAACAGAAUUCUAGCCUUUCUGAAUGAAUCAUCUCGAGUUCUAAUUUUUUUGUUUUUCUUUUUCUGUGUGGGAAAACCGAUCAUCUCCCAUCUAGGAUUGAAAAGCCUCCAUUUAACUCUGCAUCCAGGCAAUGAUCAUGAAAAGAUCAUAUUCAUUUCAGAGAGGUGGUGAGUAGCAGGGAACAUAAUUCGUUUGAGAAGAUUUACAAUAGAUCACAUUUGCAGUGUCAAAAAAACCCACAAACCACUGAACUUAUACUGUAGAUUUGCCAAAAUGAGGAAAAUUUAGAAUAUAAUGACACCAUUAGAAAAACACAUUUUUUAAAUGGUCAAUUUAAAAAGGGUUCCUUUGUGUAAAGGCUGGGUAAAUCAUUUGACAAAUAUUUCUAGGCAGUAAAAUUUGCAAAGUGUGAAGUCUAUGGAAAUGUCAACAAAAGGCACAUUGGGUUCUGAAUGAGCACAAAUUUUAAAAUUAGAAAAAAAAAAAAAAAGGUUUGAAGUGGAAAUGGAGGAAGAUUCUGUAUAUCAGCUAUUUACUUUCUCAGUUCCCAUCCCCUCCACUGCCAUGUUAUGCUACUGUGAGAUGUACAUCAGAACCAGAGGGAAAAAUACCUUUCUUCUUACCUCAUUGAAAUAUACUAUAAACUUUUGGGGUCCAAUACAGUAGCCACUAGGCACAUGCAGCUACUGAGUAUUUGAAAUAUGAACAGUGCCACAUGUUGAAAUGAUAAUACCUUGGAUAUACUGGAUUAAAUAAAAUAUAUCAAAAUUAAUUUUACUCGCUUCUUUUUACUAUCUAUUCUUAGGGGGUAGAGAGAUGGCUGCUCCUAAAUGCUCAGAGAUGGGCAGUUUUCUUUGGCAUUUCAAACCAAAGUGGAAUUUUUCUGAAGAAUUUAAAAAUGCUAAAAGUUGAAAAUUAAAUCUAAAUUGCAGUUCUCAUUUAGCCCAAUUGUAAAUCUGAGUUAUGUAUUUCCCUGAAUAUAAUCUUUUAAAAAAAUCAAUAUAAUUUAUGAGACAACAUAUGAAUUAAGUCAAUU